rnacentral:rRNA from 1 species
GACGAACGCUGGCGGCGUGCUUAAUACAUGCAAGUCGAACGGAAAGGCCCUGCUUUUGUGGGGUGCUCGAGUGGCGAACGGGUGAGUAACACGUGAGUAACCUGCCCUUGACUUUGGGAUAACUUCAGGAAACUGGGGCUAAUACCGGAUAGGAGCUCCUGCUGCAUGGUGGGGGUUGGAAAGUUUCGGCGGUUGGGGAUGGACUCGCGGCUUAUCAGCUUGUUGGUGGGGUAGUGGCUUACCAAGGCUUUGACGGGUAGCCGGCCUGAGAGGGUGACCGGCCACAUUGGGACUGAGAUACGGCCCAGACUCCUACGGGAGGCAGCAGUGGGGAAUAUUGCACAAUGGGCGGAAGCCUGAUGCAGCAACGCCGCAUGCGGGAUGACGGCCUUCGGGUUGUAAACCGCUUUCGCCUGUGACGAAGCGUGAGUGACGGUAAUGGUUAAAGAAGCACCGGCUAACUACGUG